rnacentral:rRNA from 1 species
AAUGAUGAAGGUCUUAGGAUUGUAAAAUUCUUUCACCGGGGACGAUAAUGACGGUACCCGGAGAAGAAGCCCCGGCUAACUUCGUGCCAGCAGCCGCGGUAAUACGAAGGGGGCUAGCGUUGCUCGGAAUUACUGGGCGUAAAGGGCGCGUAGGCGGAUCGUUAAGUCAGAGGUGAAAUCCCAGGGCUCAACCCUGGAACUGCCUUUGAUACUGGCGAUCUUGAGUGUGAGAGAGGUAUGUGGAACUCCGAGUGUAGAGGUGAAAUUCGUAGAUAUUCGGAAGAACACCAGUGGCGAAGGCGACAUACUGGCUCAUUACUGACGCUGAGGCGCGAAAGCGUGGGGAGCAAACAGGAUUAGAUACCCUGGUAGUCCACGCCGUAAACGAUGAUUGCUAGUUGUCGGGCUGCAUGCAGUUCGGUGACGCAGCUAACGCAUUAAGCAAUCCGCCUGGGGAGUACGGUCGCAAGAUUA